GAUGAACGCUGGCGGCGUGCUUAACACAUGCAAGUCGAACGGAAAGGCCCAAGCUUGCUUGGGUACUCGAGUGGCGAACGGGUGAGUAACACGUGGGUGAUCUGCCCUGCACUUCGGGAUAAGCCUGGGAAACUGGGUCUAAUACCGGAUAGGACGAUGGUUUGGAUGCCAUUGUGGAAAGUUUUUUCGGUGUGGGAUGAGCUCGCGGCCUAUUAGCUUGUUGGUGGGGUAAUGGCCUACCAAGGCGUCGACGGGUAGCCGGCCUGAGAGGGUGUACGGCCACAUUGGGACUGAGAUACGGCCCAGACUCCUACGGGAGGCAGCAGUGGGGAAUAUUGCACAAUGGGCGCAAGCCUGAUGCAGCGACGCCGCGUGGGGGAUGACGGCCUUCGGGUUGUAAACUCCUUUCGCUAGGGACGAAGCGUUUUUGUGACGGUACCUGGAGAAGAAGCACCGGCUAACUACGUG
rnacentral:rRNA from 1 species